rnacentral:misc_RNA from 1 species
GAUGAAGAACGUAGCGAAAUGCGAUAAGUAGUGUGAAUUGCAGAAUUCAGUGAAUCAUCGAAUCUUUGAACGCACAUUGCGCCCCUUGGUAUCCCGAGGGGCAUGCCUGUUCGAGCGUCAUUUCACCACUCAAGCCUGGCUUGGUGUUGGGCGACGUCCUCUUUGGGGACGCGCCUCGAAACGCUCGGCGGCGUGGCACCGGCUUUAAGCGUAGCAGAAUCUUUCGCUUUGGAAGUCGGGGCCCCGUCUGCCGGAAGACCUGCUCGCAAGGUUGACCUCGGAUCAGGCAGGGAUACCCGCUGAACUUAAGCAUAUCAAUAAGCGGAGCA